rnacentral:tRNA from 1 species
GCGGGCGUAGCUCAGGGGUAGAGCACGACCUUGCCAAGGUCGGGGUCGAGGGUUCGAAUCCCCUUCGCCCGCU